UGAGGGAAUGUGAUGAAUGUUAAAGGCAUAGUUCAACCAGAAAUGACAAUUCAUCAUCAUUUUUUCAUCCUCAUGUCAUUCAAACCUGUAUGACUCCACUU